GACGAACGCUGGCGGCGUGCUUAACACAUGCAAGUCGAACGGAAAGGCCCUGCUUUUGUGGGGUGCUCGAGUGGCGAACGGGUGAGUAACACGUGAGUAACCUGCCCUUGACUUUGGGAUAACUUCAGGAAACUGGGGCUAAUACCGGAUUGGAGCUCCUGCUGCAUGGUGGGGGUUGGAAAGUUUCGGCGGUUGGGGAUGGACUCGCGGCUUAUCAGCUUGUUGGUGGGGUAGUGGCUUACCAAGGCUUUGACGGGUAGCCGGCCUGAGAGGGUGACCGGCCACAUUGGGACUGAGAUACGGACCAGACUCCUACGGGAGGCAGCAGUGGGGAAUAUUGCACAAUGGGCGGAAGCCUGAUGCAGCAACGCCGCGUGCGGGAUGACGGCCUUCGGGUUGUAAACCGCUUUCGCCUGUGACGAAGCGUGAGUGACGGUAAUGGGUAAAGAAGCACCGGCUAACUACGUG
rnacentral:rRNA from 1 species